CGCCGCGGUCGGUGACGAAGUCGUAAGCGGUCAACCAGUUCUGCCGCACGAUGAUAGGAUCGACCGGGAUCGAACGCACCUGCUCGAUGAAGCGCGCCAGAUGCCAGGCGAUCUGACCGUCGGNNNNNNNNNNUGUAGUCAGCGAUCGCCGGCGCUACGGCUUGGGUCUGGCCGAGCUGAUCGACCUGCACCACCCACGGCACCACGGAGCCGCGCAUCGCGUGCCAGACGAGCCCUCA
rnacentral:misc_RNA from 1 species